GAUGAACGCUGGCGGCGUGCUUAACACAUGCAAGUCGAACGAUGAAGCCCAGCUUGCUGGGUGGAUUAGUGGCGAACGGGUGAGUAACACGUGAGUAACCUGCCCUUAACUCUUGGAUAAGCCUGGGAAACUGGGUCUAAUACCGGAUAGGAGCGCCUACCGCAUGGUGGGUGUUGGAAAGAUUUAUCGGUUUUGGAUGGACUCGCGGCCUAUCAGCUUGUUGGUGGGGGAAUGGCUCACCAAGGCGACGACGGGUAGCCGGCCUGAGAGGGUGACCGGCCACACUGGGACUGAGACACGGCCCAGACUCCAACGGGAGGCAGCAGUGGGGAAUAUUGCACAAUGGGCGCAAGCCUGAUGCAGCGACGCCGCGUGAGGGAUGACGGCCUUCGGGUUGUAAACCUCUUUCGGUAGGGAAGAAGCGAAAGUGACGGUACCUGCAGAAGAAGCACCGGCUAACUACGUG
rnacentral:rRNA from 1 species